AGCUCCAAUAGCGUAUACUUAAGUUGUUGCAGUUAAAAAGCUCGUAGUUGGAUCUCGGGGCAGUGCUGAUCUGGUCCGCCUGGAUGGUGAGUACUGGUCGGCCUGUCCUUCCUUACUAGUAACUCGGCUCUGUCCUUAAGUGGGUGGGGUUUCAGCGUGCCCUCGGGUGCGUGGGGUUCUAGUUCAUUUACUUUGAAAAAAUCAGAGUGUUCAAAGCAGGCGUUUGCCGUGAAUACAUUAGCAUGGGAUAAUGGAAUAAGACCUUGUUCUUAUUUUGUUGGUUUCUAAGGACAUCGUAAUGAUUAAUAGGGACAGUUGGGGGCAUUAAUAUUUAAUUGUCAGAGGUGAAAUUCUUGGAUUUAUGAAAGAUUAACUUCUGCGAAAGCAUUUGUCAAGGAUG
rnacentral:rRNA from 1 species